UAUAAAAACAAACAAAAUACAUCCUUAGGAUUACACAUAUCCCUAUGGUAGCAAUUUUCCACAAUCCAUUAUUACCAGUGAAAAUAUUUGCAUUUGCCUGUGUUUCUAGAAAAUAAUACAUUGUGUAGUGAACAUGGCUUUAUAGCAAAGGUUAAUUGUGUAUGUAUUUGAUAUGUUUUCUUAGCUAUAAUGAAAAUGGACUAGGGGGUAGGGAAAAUCACAAAUUAUGAGCAUAUAUUUUUAUCAUCAUUUAUUAAAAUCAGCCAAAAAAUAAAAGCCUCAGUGAAAAUUAGCCUCAGACUAAUAUAGAUAAUAAUAAUAAAAGCCUCAGACUAAAAUGACAGGACAUGGACACGUCCAAUAGUAAGCUAUUAAAUCAGCUUCCCAAAUAAUGCCCUGAUUUGUGGAUGUGUUCCAAUUCUGUGAUAUAAAUACCACCAACAUAGCUAAUUCUGAGAUGACAAGAUAAUAUCACUGAGCAGAGCUGGGAAGAGAUGCCCAACAGCAAACUCCAGUACACCACUGUUUACACAGAAUAGCUCAUUUAAUCUUCACAACAAGCCAUAUUUAUAUUUUCCGAGUGUGUUUGUACUAAAUGGAUUCAAUAACUAUUAAUAGCAUUAAUGAAUUAAUUUACUUCAGUUGCAUGAAGCAUCUGAGGAGAAUAAUAUUUAGAAUUGAUAUUUACUGAGCACAUACUAUAUACCAAGUUCCAUGAUAAAGUGUUCAUAUAUAAAUUCAUUGCAUCUUUAAAAUGACACUAUGUGGUAGGUACUCUUAUUUAUAUAUGAAGAAACUGAGGUCCAAAAAGGCUUAAAUAACUUGCCAAAGGUCCUACAAAUAGUAAGUGUUGACCAAGAUCUAGAGUGGUUAACCAAUGACCUAUAUUACUUCUUAGUUCCUUUGAACAUGUUAAGUGCUGACAUGACUUAGCAACAAAAUGGAAUACAUAGAAAAUAGUUACAUAAUUCAUGACAGUGUAAAACAUAUUUCACUCAGAGUUUCGGUAUUUUUGAUGACAGAGCCUGCUUCAUUAAAAUAAAAUUAUAUACCUAUUGUCCCAUUAAGCCUAUUGUGAAUUACAUAUCAUAGGCAUGCAACAGAUGUUUGGCAACUAAAUGCAGACACCUGGACAUCACAUAUAUAUGGGACCCUGACAUAGAGCAACCCUUGGUGAGUUAUCCUCAAUAGCCUAGGCCAGGUCUCAUGAGGUAUUUAUUUAUUUAUUUAUUUUUAAAGUAGCCUACUUUGCUUUCUCCCAUUAAAUGUAAGUCAACUAUUCUAUUUCCUAACCACCUCCCCUUCCCCACGUGAGGAGGAAAGGAUAAAGUAUUUAUUUAAUAUGGAGGGUGCAUGUCAGGAAAAAGUGAAGAUUUGUUCUGAAAGAGGAAAUAGUGGAAGAGCAAAUACAAUGGAUCACUAAAUAUGAAGUUUCCAUAGGAAGCAAUUUUCUUCUCCCCUGGGAAUCCUAGGAAAUGCGGGCAGAGUGCAAACAUGUGGUCCUAAGAAGCUCUUUAGUCAUCUACCAGCUAAGACCCUGGCUUUUUGGCUGGAAUCACUCCCUGGGAAUUCAACUCACACUAGCCCCAUCAUCAUUUCUUAGUUUGUUUAGCCUGAGUGGCUAGGGCUUCUUUCCUUUUUUAAAGGGAACAAUUUAAACCAGAUUUUUUAAAUCCAUGCUAUUAAUUCUAUCCUUCUGUGGGUUCCAGGUUAUUAGAAAAUUCUAAUGUUGUUAUCAGAUCCUAUUUCUCCCCUAACCUUUUCCUUAAAUUCUUUCUGAUAGGGGCUAGGAUGCAGGCAAGCAGUCUGGGUUAAAGAGACUGAAAGACCCCAUCAAAGAUUCUCACAUAAGUACAUUGACGUCUUGAGACGAAGAGAGGGAAACCAACUGCCUGAACACCCGCUAAAAGGUCCAUUCCUGACACACUUUAAAGUUUAUUGUGAGCAAACAUCUCUUGUUAAAUGUAAACAGCAUCUCACUGGAGGUCACAGACUUGCUGCUGCAGCAUAUCCCAAGGUAAUACCACUUUAAGCUCCACAUAAACUCUUAAGCAGUUUCUAUCCUAAAACCUGACCGUAGGUGGUACUGUUUUUUACGAUAUGUUAUAAUAGUGCAAUAAAUCUGUUAGCUUAAAAUCGAAUCUCCGUGGCCUUUUAGAGAAAUCAUCAUUAAAUGCAGGGUCCUGUUAAUGAUGCCAUCGAAGUGAAAUUGUUUAAUCUGCUAAGGGGGUGAAAGGUCAUCAAAUGAAUUUUUUAUAAUACAUCAACUUGACACGCAAUAGGGAAAACUGUAAUAGAUAAAAGCAAAGGAAAAGGGCACUGUCUUCUUCUGAUAGGUCAAUAGCAGCCAAGAGAGUCACUCAUCCACUUUCCUUUCAUGAUGGGCUCCUUUUGCAUUUAAUAUGGACACCCAAUUAAUACCUCAGCACCACAGACAACCUCAUUUUAGGUGACUUAUAGCAAUUUCUCCCCCUUCCCUGAAAUGAAAGUGAUCACAAUACAUCAUAGCAUUGUGCGAAUUAACGUUAAUUGAUUCAAGUUACCAAGCAAUGAUGGGCCACUUAUAUAAUCUAGGCGUUAUUGGGUGCUAGAAGGGAUGGAGGGAAGAUUAGAUUCCAGUGUCCGUUGCUGUGACGACGGGAGUCACCUGAUGCCUUGUUAGACAGUUGUAAGGUUCUAUUGCUGGCCCCAGUGGGGUCGUCAGUAAACUGGAGUGAUGUCCAAACAUCAUUACAUGCUGCUCCAAUAUUAAAGCAAAGGGAUUAGCAACUUAUUGCAAGCAACCUGGAUUUGUCAUUGUGCUGUCGUUAUCCAAUUUCCAACUGCUAAUGUGACUGUAGCCUGCAGGCAGAAGGACCUACAGCCAAACUUUAAAAAAUGGGGGAGAAAAGUUCCCUCCAUUCAUCCCAGUUUUUACCAUUAUUUAAUAGCUUCCAAUACCCAGUUAGGUAUGUGAGAGAUUUUUUUUUCUGCAAUGCUUAAAUGCAGGCUAUAGGAGAAAAGUCAAGAAAAUACAGAAAUUUCCCAAUUAAGAGAUCACUCCUAUUCAUGUCAUUAUUCUUGCUUUUCGAUUCCACCAGAUCUGAAAUGUUUACCCUGUAGAAGAUGGAAUUAUUUCUAUUUGCAUGGAAAACUCAGAAAGCAAAGACAAUGAGCUCAUGAGCAACUUGAGUACAGAUAUCAGCCUUAUUCACCUUUGCAUAUGUCCUUCUGCUCCCAUAUACUCAACCAGUGCCCGAUAUACAAACCAAGAGAGAAGAAACAUCAACAUUUCCUGAGUAUGUACCAUGUUCCAGCUAUUCUGAAAGUCUUUCAACCAACAGUUCUUAUUUUAUUUAAUUAUCAUAGCAAACUGAGCGGUGUGUUUUUAUUGCUUCCAUUUUCCAAAUAAGAAAGUUGAACUUGUAGCUGUACUUGAAGGACUGUGAGAUAACAGAACUAAAUGUUAGAAGCAGCCUGGUUCCCUGAGUCACCACCAGGAGGGCAGCUACCAGGAGAGUCACCCAACCUUCUUCAGGCUGAGAUCAUUUGACUCCCUGACCUUCUUCAACAGAAAAGUCUAUGGGCUGAUUAUACGCUAAGAAUAGAAGUAUUUCCUCUUACUUGUUUUAAAUUUUCCCACUGUUAAUUUCUUUGAGAGCAUACUUGUUCUCAUAUUACAAAACAAUGUUAAAAAAAAUUUUUUUAAAGAAUUUUUACUACUUCUAUAAAAUCUGAAAAUUUUUGCUCUUGUAUCCCAGUGUUUCUGAGAUUGGUCCCUUUCGUUAUCUCACCAUCCAGAGGUCCUAGCCUACAUUUACGUUGGCCUAUAGUUACAUGAUUCAACUUAUAACCUAAGGCCCCUUGCCAGUUGCUCCCUGCACUUCACUUUACUAUUUCCCGAAGCAACUUCUUUGUUUUAGUUGAGGAGGGUUGCUACCUUCCUGUGGCAGUGGUUGCCAAAGUAUUGUUUUAAGAAUCAUUACCAGGCCAUGUAAGGACUUGGUAGAAAAAAUGGUUUUAUAGGUUAGCAGUCUGCUGGUGUGAGGGGUGGAAGAUAUGGUGGAGCCUUGGAAAACUCACUGUCAGGAAAACACAGCUAUACCUCCUAUGCAGACACUUUGCUCAACAGCACUUAGGCACAACUUACCUGCUGUCUAACCCAGAACUCCAUCCAAAUUCCAUUCCACUUAUCCACGUCUGACACUUCUUAAGUUUCUAUAAAGAUUUUUCUAACACUCUUUCUCUGCUGAUCACUGGCUGACAAAAUUCAUUCUAUAAUUCACUCUGAAAUUGACAGCAUUGUCCUAGAUGGAUGGCAUGCUUGGAUGACAGCACCUAAAUCUUACCUAGAGAUUCAAGGUGAGAAGGUUUUUGAACCCUUAACUCAUGUUCACCUUGUAAAGAAGGAUGAUCAUCCUUCUACUGUUUAUAUUAAAAUGAUUAGACUUGGUAAUCUUUAAAACCACAACAAAAGCUGGACUUCUUUCCAAAGAACCAGAACGCUUUACCUCUGACUUUGUCUUCUGCUAAUUCCCUUCCUGGUCAUUCUGCUCAAGCCACUCUGACUUCCUUGCUAAUCCUCACACACUGCAGGCACUCUCCCCACUUGGGGACUCUGCCAAGGCAGAUCUCUCUACUUUUCUCCCAGGUGUUCCUGUGGCUCAAUCCCACACCCUCUUCUCUGUCUCCUUCUCAGUGAGGCCUACUUUGGUCAGCCUAUGUACAAGCAUUCUUUUUGCUUUCUAUGAUGCUCUACAUUUUUUCUUUUGUCUAUAGCACUUAUAACUUUAUAAUCUACUAGAGAAUUUACUUAUUUAUUAUGUAUAUUACUUAGUCACUCCUCUAAGUAAGCUAAGAAAGUAAGCCCUAUGAGAGCAGGGUUAUUUGUCUAGUUUUGACACUUUACAACUAGCCAGAAAAGCACCAGGCACAUAGUAGACUCAGUAAUAUGUGUUAAAUUGAAUAAACUUAAUGCAUCCAUUCGUUUUCAAUGAUUAACUCUAGAAUUUUCCUGAUUCGCUCAGAUUGAAAUUGAACAUUCAAGUUGAAACUAUGAUCUACUCACUUGCAUGUUUGAAAUCUACAAGGACAACUUUCUAAAAAUAUUUUGCAAGGACUGUAUAUUUCAUAUGUCUUUCAGAGGCCAGAUAUGAAGUUACAUUUUCUCAGGUACUCCACUUUCUCUUGGUUUUCAGAAAAGUUGAUGUUCUUGCCCUCCUGAAAUCAUGGCACCAAAAACGGGGAUGUAAGUUCUUUCAUUGUCAAGAGUGAAUGAGAAGGAAAGGGGAAAAGAGGAGCAGGGAAGAAAUGGAUAAUACUAUUUCUAGUACCCUUCCUUCACAGAGAGGAAUGAAUUAAACAUGAGGCAAGAAGGUCACCAAGUUAGUUAGGCAUAUGAAUUAAAUCAGAUUGUCUGAAGAAAGUACUCUAUGAAGAUAGGGCACAGAGAAAGAAUACAACAAAAAUCAGAUGAUAAAAAAUGAAAAAAAAAGUUGCAUUUGUAUGGCACAUUUUAAUAUGUUAAGUACUAAUAAUAACUCUUGCCAUUAUGUGUUAAUAAUAGAUCCUUUUCUGUAUCAGCUAUAUUGUAUGCAUUAUAUAUAAAUGUUGACAACAUGAAAGAUAAUUCCUGUAUUUCUAUUCUACAGAUAACUAAACCUAAGCUCAUGGUGUUAAAUAUCCAUAGACACCCAUCUAUUCAGUGGCCAGCAGGGCCUGAAGCCAUAUGAUAGCCACCAUUGCACACAUUUUGCCACCAUGUCACCUGUUAUCAUUUGCCCUUCACAACAACUUUAAAAGGCAGAAAUAAGAGGUGGGAUUUCCAUUUGCCUGAUGAAAAAACUGAGUUUCUUAAAAUUUAGUACUUGCCCAAAGACAAAGUGAAUUAAUUAAAUACUGGUCUCUUGACAUCUGUGUCUAAUGUUCUUGUCAUAACAUGAUGUUCUUGUCAUAACAUGAUGCUCUUGGUGUUGGUAAUAAAACUAAUGUUUCUCAAAUAGAGGAUGAAUUUGUGAGUUAGUAAAUCAGUUCAGUUUUGACACUGCAAUCUCCAAAGAGAUCCUAAAAUUAUUUUCAUAUUUUCAAACGAUGUGGAUUAAUACUCAGUAUCAGAUUGCAUUCUACAAAUAGUAUUGCCUUGAGAUCCAUCCACUUGAAUUAACCAAAAAAUACUACUAAUUAACUAGACUUGAGAAAGGGCUGGUACUAGGCAAUGUGACUUUUUUAUGUCAUAUGUCACCUGGAUUACAUUUUCACUCUGAUGUACAUGUCAUUGACAGCAGUAGGCUGCUAGAAUUUGACACCAUGAAUUUAUCUGAUGAAGUGCACAGAAAGAGAUCUGUUUAUUAAUUCGUAAGCACAAUCUAGAGCCAUUUUAUAAUACAGUAUUUCCCCCUUCACAGAAUGAAUCAGUACUUGACUGAUUUAAGUAUAAAAUGCCUUGGUUUGUUAAACACAACCCCAUAUUGGGGAGAAUUGGACUUGGGUUCUACUAGCAGUUGUCCCAAAAUUUGCUAUUCUUAAACAAGUUGUCUUCCCUCUCAGGACUUCAAAGUCACCAUCAAAAACUUAGAAACAUCUCAAGUUAACAACCUAAUAUCACAACUAAAACAACUAGAGAACCAAGAGCAAACAAA
rnacentral:lncRNA from 1 species